UCAGAUUCUUAACCCACUGUGCCACAGCAGGAACUCUUGGGGAUUUUUAUUAUAGCAUAUAUACACGUAUCACGGUAUUCAUAUAUUCUAAACUAUAUGUACAAUAUAAAUGUUUUUUAAUGAGAUGAAAGAAAUUUAAAAAUAAAUGUUAAUGUUAUUUUUCCACACACCAAUAGAUCAUUGCACAUUCUGGAAUAAUUUUACUGCCCUACUUGGAAACUAUUGAUGAGUUAACUGAGGCAGUCUAUGUUUUUAAGGAUCAUGCCUUCUUUUUUUCAGUUUAAGUCAUCUUUGUCUUAGGGUUGUUUUGUUCAUGGUAGUAAAUAAAGUCUAAUAUUUCUAAUGCUCACAAUUCUGCCUGAUAUAGAUUUUUUUUCACACAAAUGUAAAUAAGAGACUGAUAAUGCCCAAAAUUGUUACAACCAAUAUGGAAAACAGCAUGGAGGUUCCUCAGAAAACUAAAUAUAGACCUACCGUAUGACUCCACAAUCCCUGCUGUAUAGCACAGGGAACUAUAUCUAGUCACUUGUGAUGGAACAUGAUGGAGGAUAAUGUGAGAAAAAGAAUGUGUGUGUGAGAGAGAGAGAGACUGGGUCAUUUGCUGUACAGUAGAAAAUUGACAGAACACUGUAAACCAACUAUGAUGGAAAAAAUAAAAAUUAUUUUUAAAAAGAAAUCUAUCUUUUCAGAAAUUAAAUGAAUAAGUAAUUAACUGCAGGAAUUAAUAGGCAAUUUAAAAGAGGAAUAGGUAACCAAAUCAUAAAAGAACAGGAAAAAACAAUCUUGAGAAGAACAAAAUUGGAAUACUCAUAUUUUCCAAUUUAAAAAUUCACUCAAGGAGUUCCCGUCGUGGCGCAGUGGUUAACGAAUCCGACUAGGAACCAUGAGGUUGCGGGUUCAGUCCCUGCCCUUGCUCAGUGGGUUAACGAUCCGGCGUUGCCGCGAGCUGUGGUGUAGGUUGCAGACGCGGCUCGGAUCCCGCGUUGCUGUGGCUCUGGCGUAGGCCGGUGGCUACAGCUCCGAUUCCACCCCUAGCCUGGGAACCUCCAUAUGCCGCGGGAGCGGCCCAAGAAAUAGCAACAACAACAACAACAACAACAACAAAAAGACAAAAGACAAAAAAAAAAAAAAAUUCACUCAAAAGCUACAAUAAACAUCACAAUGUGGUACUGGCAUAAAAUAGAUGUAUAUAUCAAUGGAAUAGGAUUGAAUGUCCAGACAAAACACAUCCUUUGGUAGUCAAUUGAUUUUUGACACGUGUACUAAGACAACUCAAUGGGGAAAAAAUAGUCUUCAACAAAUGAUGCUGGGAUGACUGGAUUUUCACACCCCAAAGAAUGAAGUCUUACCCAUCCUUUACAUCCCACAUGAAAAUUAACUCAAAAUGAAUCAAAGACUUCAAUAAAAGAGCUAAAACAAUAGAAGUCUUACAAAUCAUGAGAAGAUAUUUAAAAUCAAUGAUAAUCAAAAGUAAAAUAAUUAGAAACUAUUUUUCAUCUCUCCAAGUGAUUAAAGAGAUUCUAAAGACUAAUACAGGCUAGGUUGGGAGGAAGAAGAAAUGUGAUGUACACUUGAUAAUUACAUAAAUUGACAUCUUCUGGAAAGUAGUUUGGUAAAAUGGGACAAUGUCAGAAUAUACUUACAAUGUGACUUAGUGAAUCCACUCAAAGGAAAUUAUCCUUUCAAAAAAAAUUGAUAAGGAUACAAAGUUGUAUUGUAAAGAUGCCCAUCUAAGCAUUGUAAACAACAGAAAGUUGGAAGUAACAUAAAUGCCCACCAGUUAGGAUUUGGUUAAAAACAUCUCCAACAGAAUAAAGAGCAGCCAUUAAAAUUGUUGAUAGAUAUGUAUAUUUUAUUGACAUGGAAAGAUGUAGACAAUUUAUUACUGAAGUUGAAAAAAAAAAAAGUAGGCAUCCCCAGGCCAAGUAGGGAAUAUAGAAAAGGGAAAUUAACACCCAAAAGGAGAACCCAAGGUGCUAAAGUUGAACGUUGUGUUCCUCUCUGCUUUUUCUUGAGUCAGACCUGGCUAUAUACUUCUUCCAAGAUGCUAAAGCUAAACUUUUCUCUUAUAAAUAUUUCCGGGAAGUACAUCAUGCACACCAAAAAGCUUCCUGGAUGGAAACAAACUGAACACUGAGACAAAUAAUUAUAAUAAUUCUACAUUGGCUGGCAGAUGCCGAGGAACCUAGAUGCAUGAUUAGGCAUCUUCUUCCAAUUACUAUAGCCAGUCGCAAGAGAUUCAGAUCCUUGAAUAACUGGGAUUGAUGACCCUAAAUUACUGGAUAAUCCUAAAGAUUCUAAAUCUGCUCAAGCAAAAGAAAUAGGAAGAGUCAACAUGCCUAACUAAGUGGAAAGAAUACUUUGGAGUAUAAAACAUGAGUCUGGGGAAUAUUUCCAUGUUCACUCGUAGUUAGAACCCUCUGGAGAAAGGGCCUGUCUGACCCAGAGAUGUAUUUAUUCCUCCCAACAAGUUCCCUAGGGACAAGCAUCUGUCAAUAUAGCUACAGCCCAACCUACCCGAAAUGGAGAAAAAUCAAUACCUUUUCUUCCUAGCUCCUGCAAAAGAGUGCUUAGAGCAUUAAAACAGCCCGUGAAAGAUUAGAGUUCAACUGUUUUAUCACUUGUCAGAUGCUUGAGCUAUAUUUCAUAGCAAUUUUGGUUAUACUUCCAACAGCCUUUUUUUUUUUUUUUUUUUAAGUUUCUUAGAUGCACUGCAUUAUGCUAAAGUCCAAGGGAUCAAGCAGAUUGGAAAGGCCAAGAGUGAGAAACUGCUGAGGACCCAGUCACCUACCUCGGAAGCUCCCCUUCCCUCCCAGGUCUUAGCCUAGAGCACAUGCUCUCAUAAAGUACCCAUGCAUCGCUUAAGUAAAAAGGAGACUGACGUUCCACAAAUCAGUCAAGUUUCUUAAAGUAAAAAAAAAAAAAAAAAAAAAAAAAAAACAAAAACUAGGCUUAAGUGAAUGUUUCCAGCAAGUGUCACAUCUCCAAGUGUCAGCUAUUUCCCAAGGGUAGGAAGAGGACUGCAUGUCACAUAAUUCGAGACUCACUUAUGAAGAAUCCUUACCUUUCUAUUCUGUCCCUGUCGUGAGAAAUCUGGUACCCUUCAACCAUUGCUUAUGAAGCCCAGGUAUCUUCAAAGACUGACCGCCAUUAUAAUUUUAUCUACUUCUGUAUUCUGUCCUUCUGAAUUGUUCUUGCCACCAACUCUAUUUUGAAACCCUAUGGGAUAUUGGGUAUGGCAUUUUUAAAGAGAAUCACUGUUUAGAAUCAUUUGGGAGAGGGGGGUAUUAAAUGCUGGAAAGCACAUGGGUGCCAAUAUUUCUUUCCAACAGGAGAUCCAUUUUUCAGCCCUACUUCUGAUCAGAAAGCUGAUUUUUCUCUCAAAAGUGGUAAAAUCCUCUUUUCUCAAGCACUGAAGUGUAGAUCAUGGAAAACACAAGAGCGAAUGGCUAAAGCCUUGAGAAGAAUUGGAGUAGAAGAUGGAAAAACCACAGGAAAUGAACAGCUUUUAUCCCAUUCUUAGGAUAAGAAUAAUCAACAACCAACAGUUUUGCUAAAGGUAUUAUUCAUUAGGAAUACAGUGAAUAAGUGCUGUAAGUAACAUCUUUUUGCCUCUUCUUGAAAACAAAAACUUAGUAUUUUCAACCAACUAAGGCCAUGAUAGAAG
rnacentral:lncRNA from 1 species